GCAACUUAUGGAAAACAACAAACGCCCGAAAUAGAUGAUACCCAAGCUCAGGAAUGGAAAGAAUUGGCUCAUGGCUUCAAGCGCCUCUUUUAGAAAAAGGCAAGAAUAGCUUUCGGCGGUGUUUGGGGAACUGCUGGAGGUGAGGGAGGGGGAUCUGAGAGCUUUGGUGCCUUUUUUCCACCUCCCCCUCCCCCAACCCCCGUGUGAACACUUAGCUUCCCCAGCUCGAUCCACUCUGGGAGCACAUCCACACCUGGCUGCUGCCGGAAACUGGAGAUGCUAUGUGAUUCUUACGCUUCUUGAGCCUGAAAGGCCAGCAGGACCAUCAGCCAUGGACUCACUAUGAUUGCUCCUGACUUCUCACCAGUUUGCCUUUGACCUGAAAGACAGUUUCUAGAGAGCCUGGCAGAGGGGCUUGACGUGGAAGAGAUGGUCCAGAGUCACAGCAACACCUUCUGAAGUCAACCGAGGCCAAGCAGCUGUCACCAGGACCAAAAUCCUGGCACACUGGGGCUGGCAGUGACCCGCAGACCAGGGCAUCCUGGUUUUCCAUUCUACACAGGGGGAACACAAAGGCCUGGGGAGAGAAAGAGAGGUUAAACUAACACAGGAGACAGAACCUGGGUCUCCAAACACCCACCCUUUCCCUUCUUCACCCCCAGUCAAACUGCCCAGCCCACAGCACCACUGUCCCCAGGGAAAUGCAUGGGGCAUAUCCACCCCUUCAGCUGAGUUCCAAGUAGUCGAUGAUCGGAGGGCUUGCCUGGUGGUCCAGGGGCUAAGACUCCAAGUUGGGAAUUAGACCCCACAUGCUGCAACCAAGACCCGGAGCAGCCAAAUAAAUAAACGUUGAAAACGAAACCAAAGCAGAGUAGCCACUGCUGAUGGCCUCAGUCUAGGGUCUGGGGAGGGCCUUAGCCUGGAAGUCAAGGGCCAGGACACCCACAAGCCUCCAGACUCACCUAGGGCCUGCCACCUGCAGUGGGGUCUACAGAACCAUCUUGUUAGAAAGGCUGAAUCCCACACCUGCCCCAGCUUCUGACUCAAUCUGCACCUUAGUAAGACCCCAGCAGACUCACGUGUUGUGAUCUGAGAAGUACUAAGAGCAAGCCACUUUCCCUGCUACCAGCCUCAGUUUCUCUAACAGGAAUGAAAGGGGCGAAAGAUCUCGGACCCCUC
ensembl:lncRNA